ACUGCAACUUGAACUUCUUCAUGAGCGUUUACCAGUUGCUGUGCACCUUCUGCUAGGUUAGGGUUAGUAAUUUCAACCAUUUCGAUCUCUCUUUCUCUCUCUCUCUGUCUAUUAUUUAGUCUGCACAGUGCACCCCGGGCUUCUCCGAAGACUUCAUUGACGAUGAAGCCCCAUUGCGUGUGCUAAAAUGUGCCAUUCAGUGUUGCAGUUUUGUUCGAUACUUCCAAUGGCUGAUCUGUGUCAAAGCAAUGGCUAGAUCCUUAUUCCAAAUUGAUUUCCAAUCCAGUUCAUUUCUUGCCUCUCCAAUAGCUCUUUUGUAUUUUAUAUAUAAUCAGUCAAAAGAGCCUGUCAUGGAGGCAGAUAAUAAGCUUGGCUAGGUUAACGUGGAGGCUAUACUCUUUUCAAUGGUUUAGCCUCUAAAGUAAUUCGCCACAGUCACUCCUUAGCAGGAAGAAUCUGCUUGGCACUUGGGAGAGCUGCAUUAUUUUUCAAAUCGAUUGGUUUAACUGAGGAUCAGAGGUAGUUUUAUUUAUUUUUCUGUAUAAAUAAUUAGUGAGGUCCCUAUAUGUGUUGUUUAGUACUUAUUAUUCUAAGUGGGUUUCUUAUGUUGUUGAGUUGGCUUCGUGAAGCAUGAAAUUAUUAGUGUAAAUAUUUUUAGUAUGAUGAGAUUUGGUGAGAGAUGUAGGUGGGGUGGAGCCUGUGGAGGACCUUAUUGGAGAAGUGUAAUUAAGUAGUAAAGCGAGAAAGAAUGUGUUUUUCCAUGAGUAAUGCCAAAGAGGUCUUGGCUAAUUGAUAAUGAUUGUUGGAAAAGUGAGAUCGAAUGUCACCACUUGAUAUGAAUAAAUGCAUUUAAUGAAA